GAUGAACGCUAGCGGGAGGUCUAACACAUGCAAGCCGAGCGGUAUUGUUUCUUCGGAAAUGAGAGAGCGGCGUACGGGUGCGGAACACGUGUGCAACCUGCCUUUAUCUGGGGGAUAGCCUUUCGAAAGGAAGAUUAAUACUCCAUAACAUAUUGAACGGCAUCGUUUGAUAUUGAAAGCUCCGGCGGAUAGAGAUGGGCACGCGCAAGAUUAGCUAGUUGAUGAGGUAACGGCUCACCAAGGCGAUGAUCUUUAGGGGGCCUGAGAGGGUGAUCCCCCACACUGGUACUGAGACACGGACCAGACUCCUACGGGAGGCAGCAGUGAGGAAUAUUGGUCAAUGGGUGCAAGCCUGAACCAGCCAUCCCGCGUGAAGGACGACUGCCCUAUGGGUUGUAAACUUCUUUUGUAUAGGGAUAAACCUACCCUCGUGAGGGUAGCUGAAGGUACUAUACGAAUAAGCACCGGCUAACUCCGUGCCAGCCGCCGCCGUAAUAC
rnacentral:rRNA from 1 species